rnacentral:rRNA from 1 species
UGGGGAAUAUUGCACAAUGGGCGCAAGCCUGAUGCAGCCAUGCCGCGUGUAUGAAGAAGGCCUUCGGGUUGUAAAGUACUUUCAGUCGGGAGGAAGGUGGUAAGGUUAAUAACCUUAUCAAUUGACGUUACCGACAGAAGAAGCACCGGCUAACUCCGUGCCAGCAGCCGCGGUAAUACGGAGGGUGCAAGCGUUAACCGGAAUUACUGGGCGUAAAGCGCACGCAGGCGGUUGAUUGAGUCAGAUGUGAAAUCCCCGGGCUUAACCCGGGAAUUGCAUCUGAUACUGGUCAGCUAGAGUCUUGUAGAGGGGGGUAGAAUUCCAUGUGUAGCGGUGAAAUGCGUAGAGAUGUGGAGGAAUACCGGUGGCGAAGGCGGCCCCCUGGACAAAGACUGACGCUCAGGUGCGAAAGCGUGGGGAGCAAACA